rnacentral:rRNA from 1 species
GAUUAACGCUGGCGGCAUGCCUAAUACAUGCAAGUCGAACGGAAGCAGCAAUGCUUUAGUGGCGAACGGGUGAGUAACACGUAGGGAACCUACCUAUACGACGAGGAUAACUACUGGAAACGGUAGCUAAAACUGGAUAGGAUCAAUUGAGGCAUCUUGAUUGAUUUAAAGAUCCUUCGGGAUUACGUAGAGAUGGCCCUGCGGCGCAUUAGCUAGUUGGUGAGGUAACGGCCCACCAAGGCGACGAUGCGUAGCUGAGCUGAGAGGCUAAACAGCCACACUGGGACUGAGACACGGCCCAGACUCCUACGGGAGGCAGCAGUAGGGAAUUUUCGGCAAUGGGGGAAACCCUGACCGAGCAAUGCCGCGUGAACGAUGAAGGUCUUCGGAUUGUAAACUUCUUUAGUCGGGGACGAAUAAAUGACGGUACCCGAAGAAUAAGCCACGGCUAACUACGUG